GAGUUUAUCGUGUACGCAAGUCAUUGGGUGAAUAAAACCCAAAGGCGAAAUGAAAGUAAAGAGUUGAGUUUAUAAAAAAGAAAUUUAUUUUUUUUUUAUUUCUCUCUUAAGGGAAGAUGAAAAUUUAAUUAUAUGAUUGUUUACAAUUGUUUAUUUAAAUUUUUCGCAUUCCCAGGGCGCUUGUUUCACGCUUUGCGUGUCAAUGCGCACCUAGAGCGUACACGCUGAUACCCGAAAGAUGGUGAACUAUGCCUGGCCAGGACGAAGCCAGGGGAAACCCUGGUGGAGGUCCGCAGCGAUUCUGACGUGCAAAUCGAUCGUCGGAGCUGGGUAUAGGGGGCGAAAGACCAAUCGAACCAUCUAGUAGCUGGUUCCCUCUGAAGUUUCCCUCAGGAUAGCUUGCGCUCGGUUGAGUCUCAUCCGGUAGAGCGAAUGAUUAGAGGCAUUGGGGUCGAAACGACCUCAACCUAUUCUCAAACUCCAAAUAGAUGAGACCCCCGGCUUUCUUAAAAUUGAAGCCGUGGGAAUUGGAUCAAAGUGCCAAGUGGGCCAAUU
rnacentral:rRNA from 1 species